UAACACAAUUAAGUGUUUUAUGCGGACAAAACCGCGUAGGCCUAGAACGCCAACUUUUUGAAAGGAGAAAACAAAUG
rnacentral:ncRNA from 1 species